rnacentral:rRNA from 1 species
AUGCUCACACUUUCUGUAUGGAGCUGGGAGCGGUUGCCGGUUGGACGACCGAAGACCGUGAAGUACCAGGAUUGGAACGACCAUGACGACCCACUACGGUACCCCACUUGGGCUUAUAAGUGGGAUGUGGUAAAUGAGACGACGGAUGAUCCCUCGGUCAUGUACAAGUUUGGCCUAACCCCAAGAGAUAUACCUUGGCCACCAUCUACAACACCUUCAUCCGCGAGACUAACAUCCUUCAACAAUGUAGUCCGAUGA